GGUCUUAUGGUCUAGUGGUAUGAUUCUCGCUUAGGGAUUACGAGUCACAUCGUUCCUGAGCAAUUUGCGAGAGGCCCCGCGUUCGAAUCGCGGUAAGACCC